UACAGAGGUCUCAAGCGUUGUUCGGAUUCAUUGGGCGUAAAGGGGGCGUAGGUGGCGGGGUUAGUCAGGGGGGAAAUCUCGGAGCUCAACUCCGAAACUGCACUUGAUACUGCCUUGCUAGAGUACUGGAGAGGAGAUUGGAAUUUACGGUGUAGCAGUGAAAUGCGUAGAUAUCGUAAGGAAGACCAGUGGCGAAGGCGAAUCUCUGGACAGUUACUGACACUGAGGCUCGAAGGCCAGGGGAGCAAACGGG
rnacentral:rRNA from 1 species